rnacentral:rRNA from 1 species
GAUGAACGCUAGCGGCAUGCCUUACACAUGCAAGUCGAACGGUAACGCGGGGCAACCUGGCGACGAGUGGCGAACGGGUGAGUAAUGUAUCGGAACGUGCCCAGUUGUGGGGGAUAACUGCUCGAAAGAGCAGCUAAUACCGCAUACGACCUGAGGGUGAAAGCGGGGGACCGCAAGGCCUCGCGCUAUUGGAGCGGCCGAUGCCCGAUUAGCUAGUUGGUGAGGUAAUGGCUCACCAAGGCAACGAUCGGUAGCUGGUCUGAGAGGACGACCAGCCACACUGGGACUGAGACACGGCCCAGACUCCUACGGGAGGCAGCAGUGGGGAAUUUUGGACAAUGGGGGAAACCCUGAUCCAGCCAUGCCGCGUGCGGGAAGAAGGCCUUCGGGUUGUAAACCGCUUUUGGCAGGAACGAAACGGCGCGGGCGAAUAGCUCGCGCUAAUGACGGUACCUGCAGAAUAAGCACCGGCUAACUACGUGCCAGCCGCCGCCGUAAGAC